GUGCACGUGAUUCACCUUGCCUGGACAGUCUUUCCUUUUCUACGGAACCGGAAAACACUUUCUUUCUUGUAUGGGGAUUCAGGAGAAAACACACAUGUGACAGAUUAUCAUCUCAUCUGGCUAGCUUUGUCAGGAAAGGAGGUGGUCCAUUUGGUCUCCUGUGCUGUCACAGCUCAUUUUGUACUGCUCCCAGUGGUCUCUGCCUUCUCCAUCCCUCACACUCCGAGAGCCGAACUUGCUACUUCCAGCCUUCAACAGACUCGGAAACAAAAGGACCUAAAUGUUUGAAAUUCCAUUUGAAAUAGACUCUGAUAUUACCUCAAAAAUAACAUAGGACAGGGUAUGGGCUUUGCUGUGAGACUAUUUUAAUCCUUAUGUUCAUUGUUGAGCCACUCUUUUUAUACUUUUACCAUCUUCUUGGUAAACGGACCCGACCAUAGUACUAAAAACCAAUAGCACAGGUUGACCUCAGACAGGUCAGUUUAUUUCUAAGGGUCUAUUUCCUGAUCACUGAAGUGAAUAGAUUUGAUGGAAUGAUUCCCCCCAAUACCUGUGUGAAAAAUCUGUAACUCUAAGAGAGAUAUGCCUCUGCAUAUGAACGUGAGUUUGAAGGUGAUUAUAGGAAACAUCAUAAUUAAAAGUUAAAUAUGAAGUUAAAAAUUACUAUCAUUAAUGUAGACCUAAAAGUAUGAAAAUAAAGACAGCAUUUAUGGAGUCAUAUAUUAUAUCAGUAUUUUCUCUUUAUUUUAAAUAUACUGAAUCACAUUAAUUGCUUUUGGAAUAAAU